rnacentral:misc_RNA from 1 species
GAAAUGCGAUAACUAGUGUGAAUUGCAGAAUUCCGUGAAUCAUCGAGUCUUUGAACGCACAUUGCGCCCCCUGGUAUUCCGGGGGGCAUGCCUGUCCGAGCGUCAUUGCUGCCCAUCAAGCACGGCUUGUGUGUUGGGUCGUCGUCCCCUCUCCGGUGGGGACGGGCCCCAAAGGCAGCGGCGGCACCGCGUCCGAUCCUCGAGCGUAUGGGGCUUUGUCACCCGCUCUGUAGGCCCGGCCGGCGCUUGCCGAACGCAAAUCAAUCUUUUUCCAGGUUGACCUCGGAUCAGGUAGGGAUACCCGCUGAACUUAAGC